rnacentral:rRNA from 1 species
UACGAAGGGUGCGAGCGUUAUUCGGAAUCACUGGGCGUAAAGGGUGCGUAGACGGUAUGUUAAGUUUGUCGUUAAAGACUCUGGCCUAACCAGAGGGUUGCGAUGAAAACUGGCAAGCUAGAGGGUGAGAGAGAGAAGUGGAAUUCCCGGAGUAGCGGUAAAAUGCGUGGAUCUCGGGAGGAACACCAAUGGCGAAGGCAGCUUCUUGGCUCAUUCCUGACGUUGAGGCACGAAAGCGUGGGGAGCGAACAGG